AUGCAAGUCGAACGAGGUCCGGAGCUUGCUCCGGGUGCCUAGUGGCGAACGGGUGAGUAACGCGUGGGAAUCUGCCCUGGAGUGGGAACAACAGUCGGAAACGACUGCUAAUACCGCAUACGCCCUGAGGGGAAAGGCUUCGGCCGCUCUUGGAUGAUCCCGCGUCUGAUUAGCUUGUUGGUGGGUAACGGCCUACCAAGGCGACGAUCAGUAGCUGGUCUGAGAGGAUGAUCAGCCACACUGGGACUGAGACACGGCCCAGACUCC
rnacentral:rRNA from 1 species